CUGUUGCGUCCAGAGAGCAGAGGAACGCCGGCUCCUCCUGCGCUCCCUCGCCGACCCCGGCAGGAACCCCAACCUUAAUACUGAAGUACCAACAGUGGCCCCUGCUUCAGAGUGUGAAACAGACUCUUUAAGGAGCCGGUUACAAACUGAUGAGCCGCCGCCAACCUGGAACAGAGAGACCGGCUCCGUCGUCACAUCAUCAUCAUCCACACCGGCUGCCAUCAACACGAUGAGCGAGCGCAGUAAAUACAUCUCUAUAAUGUUUA